GGAUGGUUGUUUACUGGUAUCUUAAAUGGAGGACAAACCGAUUGUGUCGUUGAAUGGGUGCCCUGAAUUAUAUGAUACCUUUUCGUUCAAUUACCGAAACUGGAAUAAUAAAGGUGCUCAAUUGGAGGCGAGUGAGUGAGAAAGGUUGAAUUACAUGGUAAAUUGUAAAGAACCUUUGUCUAUUGCUUGAAUCUGUCGGUUGAAUUGGCAGGGAUUACAAUUGAAAUUACCGUCGGCGUGGGAAUGAAGCGAGUAAAUACUACUUAUUCACGUGUCUAGAUUCAGGCGGAUUAAGCGAAUAGAUGAUUUUACUAGCGCUUGGUGUUAGCGCCCCAUUAGUCGUGUACCUGAUUGUUGUUUUUGCUUUUGGAUACCACAAAAACUCAACAAAAUCAAUUCUAGUCUAUUUUAUAAAUGUAAAAAAUCCUUCAAAGAAGCUUUAAUGUUGGUAUGUAUUGUGAGUGAGAGUUGCUAUAGUUGGAAUAACAACAAAAAAAGGUCUGUUACAGCAUAAAACAGAGCUACAUAUCCCCUACAAUCGGUUUGAACAUAUUGCACAAUAGACAAAAUACAAAUGGGUAAAUCUCAGUCCUCAAAUUGGCACAUUUUAAGGUCAAAUUGAAAUUUUUAUCGACUAAAUCAGGAACAAUCCUACUGAACUUCUCUCACUGCAAUGACAGGAGCUGGUUGAACAAGUGCUCCUUGGAGGUCUGAUGCUUACAUUUCUGGUCUUAUUUAAGACUCGAGCAGAUGGUCAGUUGGUCAGAGCUCCUGUUGCUCUCAAGCGUUUGAUGCCAAACUGUAAUUGGUUUAGCCUUAUCAAUCAGCUCAGGGGGAUUUCAUUGGCUUGAGUUGUUAUUUAAAGAUAAAGAAAAACAACUCCCAUGAUCCCGCACUGUUUCACCUUUCUCAUCAAAUAUUUGGUGGCUGUUGUUGUUCAGACCCCUGGGAAGAAAUCAACAUGAUAAUAAUUCAAACGCCUGUCAUACAGUCGGAUAAGACAAGAUAUCAUACUAUUGUGACAUAAUCUUUCCUCGAAUGUAUUUUAACUUCUACAAAAGAGCAUCAGGAUGUUACUGUAUGAGAGUUUCAGAUAAAAUACCAAACUGGGAGCCAAAAAAAAAGACACACCUCAACAUCUUUCAGCACUGUCAUGACUUUUCUUCUUUGUGACAGUAUCAUUAGAGUACUGACAGUUAUGGUAAACCCAAGUCUUUCUUUAGAGUCAGUUUAUUUAUGUUUAAAGGUGGAAUAUAUCUCUAUUUUACGGGCAUAUGAAACUACUCCAAACUCCCUUUUUCCAGUCUGUGCCAUUCUAUAUGUUUCUUCUGUGUGUGCGUGGUCUGCAGGAACAGACUCUUCAUCACAGUUAUGUAAGAGUUGUCCAAAUGAGGGAUUCCCUUUUAUGUUAUCACAGAGUAUUAUAUAUUUUGGGGAGGACUGGCUCCAGACUGACUCAGCUGUAGAUGGCAAAACUCAUUCAUUCAGACUCAGGCAGAUAAAUCCCUCUAAUGAUGGCACUUUGCUUUCACUGGAGUUGUUUGUUACAGGAGUUUUGAAGUACAUUAAAUCACUAUAAAACUUUCCCCUAUCUUCUCAGGUAUCAUUUAAUUCCUAUUUUAUUCAUACAAAAUAAUAGUAAAACUUGUCUUAUCUGAUAUCUUGGCCCUCUGGAUCAUUUCCCACCAUCAAUUUCUUCUCAAUUUGUCUUUUACAGCAGCUCUGAUUUACGGGCCUGUUAGUUUACUUGUCUCUCUAUUGUUCUGUUGUGAGUUUGUGUAAAGGAUUGUGCAUUUUUCUUUUGAGCAGGGUAGUCGCCCAGGGAGAGGCAGCACGCUGUCUGCAGCGAGGAGGGAAGGACAGUGUAUUACUUGAAAAACAAGCAUCUGUUAUCUGAAGCGGUGACAAGCCAGGAUGGGGAGAGGGAGAGGAUGUGCAGAGAGGAGACGGCGGUGACUGUUUGUUAAAUAUCUUCCUUUUUAACAGACAGAGAGGAUGGAUUCUCAGAAAACUUGAGUGUAAACAUAGAGCUGAAAUAGCCUAAAAACUGACGUGUUUAUUUGUUUCUCUUCAGUCCUGAGAACACAUGCCAUCCUAACCUUAGGUGACGAUUGAGAGUCCCAAAUCUGGUUUUAAAUGUUUCUGAAUGUAGACCAAACUCCUCAGUUUAAGCCCAAUAUUUAGCUCUACUGCCACCUAGUGGACAAUGACCUCAACACCCAGCUGUCAUGUUACAAAUCGGUUCAGAUCAUGUAUUUUAGUCUAUUUGGCGCUUGAAUUUCAACACGUUUUUAUAGACAAAAUGUUAAAUGUCUUUAGUUUAUUUCCUCCUUUUGCGCACACCUGCUUUUCUAUGUGUAUGCAUGUUGCUGUUCCUGAAUGGUUCCUGAUGCAGAAAGACUCUCCUUUCAUGAGUUAAAGGUAUUUAAAAGCACAAGUUUUGUGGCUUGUUGUGAAAAGAUUUUGGGUUCAUGGUAUUUUAAGAAUAUUUGUAAAUUUUGUUGAAACCAUAGACUAAGUAAAAUAUGGACAUGAUCAAUUUCAAUUUCAAUUUUUUUUAUUUCAAUGAGCUUUAUUGGCAUAAUUGUGACUACAAUAUUAUAAGUGUUUUAACACAAAAACAAUAACAACUACGGUAAAAAUAAUAAUAAUAAUAAUAAUAUUAAUAUUGUGAUAAUAAUGAAAAUAAUAUUGUAAAUAAUAAUAAAAUAAUAAAAGUAGUAAAAAUGUAAAUAAUAAUAAUGUAAAAAAUAAAUACAUAUAUUAACAAUGAUAAUAAUAAUAAUGAUAAUAAUGAUGAUAGUAAUAAUAAUAUUGUAAAAAUAAUACUAAAAAUAAUAAUUGUAGUAAUAAUGUAAAUAAUAAUAAUAAUGAUAAUGAUAAUAAUAAUAAUAAUAAUAAUAAUAAUAAUAAUAAUAAUAAUAAUAAUAAUAAUAAUAAUAAUAAUAAUAAUAAUAAUAAUAAUAAUAAUAAUAAUAAUAAUAAUAAUAAUAAUAAUAGCAAUAAUAAUAAUAAUAAUAAUAAUAAUAGCAAUAAUAGUAAUAAUGAUAAUGAUGAUAGUAGUAAUAACAAUAAUAAUAAUAAUAAUAAUACUAAUAAUGAAUAAAUAGUGUCAGUAUCAUCAUGUUUGCAGAUUAAAAUCUCUGGAGCAGCUGUUCAGGUUAUUUUGAGCAGUAAAAAUACUAAAUAACUCUAAAUUUAUAUAUACUAUAAACACUAAAUAGAAGUUUUGAAGGCUGGCGCUGAUGAUCGCCUCAUUGAUAACACAAUUUUAACCUUAACUACAAUCAACAAUCAUAGCACUGAUUAGUCUGACUCCAUCUGACAACAGCAACAUCCCAUCCACCUACAGCUUUAAGGCUUUAUGAUUAACUUUUAUACAUCAUAAUGAAAUUACAGAAUCUUGCUUACAUUGUGAUCACAUUAAGAAAACAUUAAAGUCAGGAGUGCUGAUAAACUAAGUCACCCAAAAAGGUUAAUAAGUGGAAAAAGAGAAAAAAAAAACCUGAGUGGGUAUAUUAUCUUGAGAGUGGCAAACCCCAUCCAAACCUAAUGACAAGGUAAAACUUGAUGGAACAUUAGACAAUAAAUGUGACAGCAAAGUGCAGUGAAACUAUCUGAGCUCAUUUCCUGUGGGCCCAACACCUCCUCCAUACCUACACCCACCUACACCCACCCCACCAACACACCACACAAAUUCAUAUGGUGGUCGUAUAUGUCACUCUUUCCGAUUCCGGCUCUGUUCACUCAAAUGAUGCCACUUGAGUAUCUGUCUUGUCUUUGUAAAGCUACAGUCCAUUUUUGGUCAUUUAAGAGUAAAGUUUGAAAGAAGCAGUUUCAGCUCCGUAUUUGUAGUUAAGAGUCUAAAUAAAAACUAAUUAAAAAAAAACUCUUUCUACUCCUCUGGUUAUCACACGUCUCUCAUGGUGAAAUAUUGCUGUGUUGUAAAUCCACCUCUGCUACAAACCACAGGUUUCAGUCUGAGUGAGCAAAAGGGUGAUUUUUUUGCAGCAGUAAGGUUUGUGUGGCUGUCUGUAUGUGUGAUACGUGAGGCGGUUUAUUUGCAUGUUUCCUGACUUCACAAAUUUAAAACAUAUGUCCAUGUUAAUGUGCACUGUUACGAGAGCAAAUCUUUACAUCACAUUAUGAUAGUUAUAAUAGAUUGUAUUUCUCAACACUAGAUCUAUACAUACUCCUCAAAUUCGUCAUCAGACAGAUAGCAAAAGACAGAAGAGAUAGACCAAACCAGACGUCCUUUAUCAUCGGGCUGUAUUUUCACCAGAUCUUAGCUCGUGGGCUGCUAUCCUCUUCAUGUAACUGUGUUUGUCAGUGGUUGUAAAUUGGAGCUUGACCUGUGCUGUUUUUGUUGUUUUCUGUCUCUCUUUCCGCAUAACCCUCUCUUUUUCUUUCUUUCCUGUCCAAACACAGUCGUAUCAGAUGACUGUUCAACAGGAGUCUGGUUCUGUUGGAGGUUUCUGCCUGUCUACAUUAAUGUUUGUCUGUUUUUAAAUUUUUUUUAUACCACUGUGACUGUGACUCUGCUCGGUGACACAUGGUGCAUGGUGACACAGGAUUGGAUUUAAUCUUGAAGUUAUGUCUCUGUGAAUAAUGAUUAAACAAAUUUUGAGUUUGCUACAUGUUAAUGAACAGAUGUGCAGACAUCUAUGAUAGUCAUGUAUUGAAAAGGAGCACCAAUCAGCAUCACUUGAGGAGUUCAGAGCAUGUGUAAAUAAGGGCUGUCACUGUAUACUAGUAUUUACGGUAACCGAUUUAGUAAAAAUCCAUCUGCAGUCAAACAAAACUAUUCGAGCACCAGUUGGUGAUUGUAUGUUAGUAGGUAUUUUGAGGCAGAUGCUAGGCCCAAACGACAACCUCCGGUCUUGAGAGAUGAAGCUGAUUCAGAAGUGCCAAAAACCGCAGUUCUCUGAGCGUCCACUUGAGGCUUGAGCACUGGAAACUAGUGGUGUGUCAUUCGCGAACAAUUCGUUCAAAAGAACCGAAUCUUUUACGUGUACGUACUGAACCGAAUCACUUCCUCAAGUGAUUCGUUCGUUUCUCACUUAAGUUGAGCUGUCAGCAGGAAAGAUGCAUUGCCAGGUGAGCACCCGGCGAACGAGAGAUCGCACGCACUGACGCCUGAAUCACUCGGUAAAGGAAUCACGCAUUAAACUACACUCUCUGGAAUCACUUUUGUGGGACAAAACUAACUUUUUUUCUUUUUUACUGCUAAAUUACCAACACAACAAAAAAGCAUGUAACAAGAACAGCAUAAAACCUGCAGCUUCCUAUCAUUGCAGCGGUUUGCGAGGGAACGGUGCAUGUUCAGUGUGAAUUCUUCUAAACCCUCAGUGGACGAUUCACUCAUUGAGCCCAAUUUACCGAGCAGACCUGAUAAAUAGCAUACCAUAGGACGGUACACUUAAAACAUCAUGACUUAUAAACAACUUCCUUUUUUACAAACCUGCUCGUUAAAGCAACACAGCCAAACAUGCUUGUCUCCCGGUCCCAGAAGCUACGAAUUGAACUGAAUCCUGAACCGUUCAGCUGUGUAUCAGUUCAGGAGGUCUGAGUCGCAGGCUGGUAUUAUUGGUGUAAAAACAAACAUGUUUACAGCCUGGUUCAAAUAAAAGGCUUUGGUCUGAAAACUCCCAUGAUAAGGGGAGUAAUGGCCAUGAAAACAUGAGGUGAAAAUCCUGUAUUAUUACAGCCCACAGUGUAAAUACAGCUCAUGAAACACAGCUUAGCCACUGAAGCCAAACAGAGAGGCUCACUGCGUGGGAUCUCGUAAACCAGUGAGGUUUAAGUGCGACCUGUAGCUGCUUCUGUCGGACCCUUCUGCGUUUAGGGGAUUUCCCUUAUUUCGGCCCCCUCUUGUCAUUUCUGAAACCAAGAGUAAAAUUCAGUUUAUUGAGGCUGAUAAAACCUCGAUGUCCCUCUGAAUCCUACAACUCAAACUUCUAAUGCACACUCAGUUAAAAAGAAAGUUUAAAUUGCCACUUCAGUCUGAAGAGUGACAGCUAUUACUUUAAGAUCCGGUCUAUUAAAUAAACUUCCGCUUCAUUACUUUCAUUACUCUUCAUUUCCUCGAGGGAACCUUCCCAUAGGAUCAAUAACGUCUAUCUAAUCUGAUCACAAAUUAAUUACUCGUCAGUCAGUUUUUCACGCUGACCUAGUUUUUCCACAGGAUACUCAAGUUAAAGAUGAUAUUGCUCAACUCGUGUUCAAUUAUUUCCCUUUGAAAGCCACAGGGACCAAAAUCAGGGGGAGGAGCUAAAACCCCUUAAUGCAUCUGCACCCUGCAAGC
rnacentral:lncRNA from 1 species